CACAGUGUAGCAAUACAUGGGUGACGACCGGCAAACGGGUGCGGAACACGUACGCAACCUUCCUUCAGGCGGGGAAUAGCCCAGAGAAAUUGGAUUAAUACCCCAUAAUAUUUUGAGAUGGCAUCAUCUUAUUAUUAAAGCUACGGCACCUGGAGAUGGGCGUGCGGCUGAUUAGGUAGUUGGCGGGGUAAUGGCCCACCAAGCCUACGAUCAGUAGCUGAUGUGAGAGCAUGAUCAGCCACACGGGCACUGAGACACGGGCCCGACUCCUACGGGAGGCAGCAGUAAGGAAUAUUGGUCAAUGGACGCAAGUCUGAACCAGCCAUGCCGCGUGGAGGAUGAAGGUCCUCUGGAUUGUAAACUUCUUUUAUCUGGGACGAAAAAAGGGUUUUCUAACUCGUCUGACGGUACCAGAUGAAUAAGCACCGGCUAACUCCGUGCCAGCAGCCGCGGUAAUACGGAGGGUGCAAGCGUUAUCCGGAUUCACUGGGUUUAAAGGGUGCGUAGGCGGGCAUUUAAGUCAGUGGUGAAAUACCUGAGCUUAACUUGGGAACUGCCAUUGAUACUAUUUGUCUUGAAUGUCGUGGAGGUUAGCGGAAUAUGUCAUGUAGCGGUGAAAUGCUUAGAUAUGACAUAGAACACCUAUUGCGAAGGCAGCUAACUACGCGAAUAUUGACGCUGAGGCACGAAAGCGUGGGGAUCAAACAGGAUUAGAUACCCUGGUAGUCCACGCCCUAAACGAUGAUUACUCGACAUUAGCGAUACACUGUUAGUGUCUGAGCG
rnacentral:rRNA from 1 species